rnacentral:lncRNA from 1 species
CAGAAUAUCUUGGGGCCCCACUGCUUGGAUACAACCGGUUCAGUUUCCUUCUCCGCACUAGGCAGCAGCCGGAAUGUGACCUUAGUAAUAUGUACAGCACAGAAACAAGGACCAAAUCCCUUUUUAACCACCAUCAAAAGUGCCCAUCAAAAUGAAAAGGUGCCAUUCUGUGCAAUACUUCCCUUUACUAGUACUACCAAGUGAGAUCAUCAUCUUUCUCUACCACCCGCCACAAUUUUAAGAAGUCACUGGAGAACUGAAGUGGCAUAUGGGGUGUUACAGAACAGAAUGUGGACCCACUCUUUAAAAAUAGAAAGGAGGUGAUCUUGACCAUUACCACACUAAAAAAGAACUUCCAUUCACAGUAGAAUAAUGGCACCAGUAUUAAGAGAAAUAAGGCCCCAAUUCUCACUUCUGGUUGAGCUCUACUCUCGGUGCUGAGGGGAUGCGUGGGCAACAGUGGCUUGAUGCCAACACUAGGGGUCUUUGGUGACUAGGGGUCACCAAAUGAAAUUAGUAGGCAGCAGGUUUAA